UUCUCCAAGAAGACUGGCUGACUGAAUUGAAGCAUGGGCAUACAAUAGCAUUAGAAUUUUCUUUUUUCUUGCUAUUAUCUUUAUGAAUGACCUGUUAGAAGUUUCUAAAUAUAGUUAACUAUUUCAAUUUUCUCAAAGUUUUUCAACUAAGAAAGCCACAGAAGCACACUGUGGUUGAAAACUUGGAAACAGUACAUGUCAGAACCUGAGUGAUGAAUUUCUCUUCUUCUGCACUGCUGAGUUGAUGAAUGGGAACUGCUGACAAAUCCAUACAAAUGAGAACUUUCUGGAAAGUGGGCAGUGAUGAAAGACAGCUGUUUUUUGCCUGUUGGUUCCAGAUUGUCCUCUUUUACUGCAUCCUUGGCUCUUGCAUAUCUCUUUCUGUGCUGGUAAAGGUCUACAGACUCCUCGCAAUGCAAGGCCGCUGCCAAGGAAUGCUGGAUGGGUGAUGCUAGCAAUUCAAGAUUGUCUCUCCUACCCUCUUCAAUGCCUCUUUCAGCAAUAUGAAGUUAAAACCAGGCUUUUAAUUUUACGGAAUGAAUAACAAGUUUUGCAUCUCUAUAGACAAGAUAAGGAUCCUGCAGCUCAGAGUCACCUCUUGUUAUUCUUUAAUGGUAGCGUCUGGACACACUUAGUUCAGUUCUUCUUCUACUAUUCCAAAUGGAUGGACCACAAGAAGAAAUUCCUGGAAAUCGAAUUAUUGAUAGACCACAUGAACUCUACUUUCGGGUGACAUAUGUAAAAAAUAAAACCCAAUACAUCUGAUUUGGGAUUCAUUUUCACAUGGAACAUAUUUUGAUUAAGGGACUGUGGAGCAAAAUGAAUCAUGAAGAAAUUUCGUGAUUCUGGAGUGUUGCACAUUUUCAGUAGCUCUUAGUUCUCUUCCUCAAUAAUUUCCCUUUCCCCAGAUAAUGCAUAUUAUUUAUAAAUACCUACCAGCAAAGUCAGUCUUAAUAAAUUUAUUACAUAUUCAUUACAAACACUUUUUAGAAAGGUUCUAAUAGAAUAUUUGGAGGCAUUUUAGGAUGACAUGAGACAAUGCUGUAUGAGUGCUCAUCCCUACCGCUGGAGCUGUUCAAGGCUUCUUAGCUUUGUCUCUGCUUCAUGGCAUAUGCAGUGCGUGAGGAAACAGUCAGAACUAAUUAGAGUAAAUAAAUAAAAACAGGUAAGAUAACUAGCAUAUUUAUCAAUUUCCAUUUCAUUUUUCUCCUGAAUGUACUUUUGAACAUCAGCUAGUAUUGAAAAUUUAUUUUCAUUACAUCUUGGUAUUGGUAACUUCAUGAUAGAAAUAUCAAAAACCUGGUGGUAUAUAUAAUUGAUAUCUUGUUAAGUAAAAGGAGAGUCAUGUGUGUCUGAUUUUGGCUAGUACAUGUUUAAUACAUGGCUAGGGUCAACUUUCCAGUUUCUGCAUGUGACUAAACUGCGCCUCACUGCCAAGCAUGAUCCUUCAUGUUCUUUCCCUGUCUGCCAGCUUGAUGUUCACAUCCAGUUUAAGGUGUAGUUACGUACAGAGAAUCUGUCAUUAUGGGUUCCAAAAUUAUUAAGCAGAGCAAAACUCUACUACCUGAAAUGACAUGGGAGUGUUAAUGUGAGUUACGAAUAAAUUAUUGCAUAUUAAACUACAGAAGUGAAAUUUUGUAAAGCAGCUACUAUUCCCUUAACUAACAUGGAAGGUGAUAUAAGCAUGAUGAAGUACAAUUAAAUUUUAAAAUAAACAGGGGAGGAAUGUAAGAAUAUAUUUUUAAAAGUAAUGAAAACAUUAAU